UAUUGCUGAGUGCGGCGUUAAACAACAAACCAACCAACAUCAUUCCUAUGUUGAAUAAUGACUAUAAAUCUGAAAUGUUUACUAUUUUCAUGAUCAUGAUUUUACUAUCAGAUUCAAGAACAUGCAAUAUCUGUAUAUGCAUGUGACAGUAUCAAUUGUACUUUUAGGCCAUAAUGCUGAAUAAACCUGUCUGUUAUCUAGGAUACGACAGACUUGCACCAAGCUUAAACUCACUCUUACAUAAUGACUUUAUUGUCAUGUUACAGGAUGACUUUGGUCUCCUUGCUGGGGCCUAUGAAGGAUGCCAGCUGGAGAGUCGCCAGCUUCGACAACGACUAAGGCAACAACUGAUGGUAUGUAUAAUCACUUGUAGCUAACAACACCCUCACCACCAUUGAAAACACAGUUGAAUGUAUUUCACCUCAUAUUUUGCAGGCAAAUCUCAUUGAGGUAAUUGAAGAUCAUGGGCGUCUCACUGCUUAAAGGGCGCUUCAACGUGAAUACCCUGGUGUGCUAUUGUCGCUAUUGUCUUCAGGACCUUCGGCUUUGUUUGGCCUAAUGAGGUAUAGAGUGAGUCAAGGUGUAUAUACCACAGCCGACUCUUGCCAACAUAAUUUGUCUGCUGUUAUUCCUCACGUUUGUACAUGAUGACUUUGGUCUCCUAGCUGGGGCGUAUGAAGGAUCCCAGCAGGAGAGUCAACGGCUGAGA